rnacentral:rRNA from 1 species
UUUCUUUGCUGGCGACCGGCGCACGGGUGAGUAACACGUAUCCAACCUGCCCUUUACUCGGGGAUAGCCUUUCGAAAGAAAGAUUAAUACCCGAUAGCAUAAUGAUUCCGCAUGGUUUCAUUAUUAAAGGAUUCCGGUAAAGGAUGGGGAUGCGUUCCAUUAGGUUGUUGGUGAGGUAACGGCCCACCAAGCCUUCGAUGGAUAGGGGUUCUGAGAGGAAGGUCCCCCACAUUGGAACUGAGACACGGUCCAA